rnacentral:rRNA from 1 species
UAGAUACCCUAUUAUUGAUGAGUGUAAAUUACAUAUUUUAGUAUUAUAAGUUAAGGUCUUUAAAUUAAAAGGAUUUGACGGUAAUUUAGUCUUUUCAGAGGAACCUGUCUCUUAAUUGAUAAUCCACGAUAAAUUUUACCUCGAAGAAAUAUACUUGUAUACCUCUGUUAAUAAAGGAGUGUUUUAAUAGAAUGGAUUCUCUUAUACUUUUAUUAAAUUUUAUAUCAGGUCAAGGUGCAGUUGUGUCGAGGUGUUUGAUGGGUUACUUUAAUAUAAAUGGAUUUUGGAUUAAAUAAUGAAUGGAUUAUUUAUUGAAAUUGGAUUUGAUUGUAAUAUUUAUUAUA